CCCGGGCAAAAGGGUAGCUCUGUUUUUAAACCCGGAGGAGGCAUCUUCCCCCGGGGGUUGCCGGGCUUCUGUUCCUGUGUGUGUUGGUCUCCAGGAAGCCAUGGAGAGCUUGGCAGCAGAGACAGAGUCUCGAUAUGUCGCCAAGCUUGGUCUCAAACUCCAAGGCUCAAGUGCUCAAGUGAUCCACCCACCUCGACCUCCCAAAGUGCUGGGAU
rnacentral:lncRNA from 1 species